GCCAGUGUGGUAUAGUGGUUUGAGCAUUAGACUGUGACUCUGGAGACCAGGGUUCAAAUCCUCACUCAGCG